CAUUCCAGUUAUCUUCCAUUAAUAAUAUUGUUAAAACUGUUGAUAGCACAAUGAAAGUACCACCAUUCACUCAAUCUGAUAAUAAUGAGGCAAAAAAAAGUUUUAAGACAACAAAAAACCACAAGCACAAAGAUGAAAUAUGGAAGGCUAUGUGACAGUGUAUUUCGCUUAACUCAUUGACAAAGCAAAUUUACUAAAAAUGAAUGGAACUUAAAACUUUUAAAACACAAAUAAAUUAAGAUAGCAACACGGGAUGUUCAAAUACAUAAGACAAUCAAGUAAUGUAGCAGCCACAAAACUCAAUCAUCAACAAAAUGAAAACUAAUUUAACCAUUGAGCCANNNNNNNNNNNNNNNNNNNNNNCAUGUUAAUCCAUUAAGUAUCUUUUUAAAACAUAUCCAUAAAUUGUUUCAGGAGGUGGAUAAUGGAUAUAUCUAAUUAUAUUUGCAUACAUUUUCAAUAAACAUAGUUUUAUUAACCUCACGCCAUUUGCAGAAACGGGACCUCCAUUAAAGCUCAAACGGAGGAUUUCGACAAAAUCAUUUUGGCCUCAAAAAUCACAAACUAAUACACUAUUUCGCUUGAUUUUUC
rnacentral:lncRNA from 1 species